UGAAGAUGCCAAAGAUUGACAGCUCAAAC
rnacentral:sRNA from 1 species